rnacentral:pre_miRNA from 9 species
UCACGAUAACGUAAAAGUUAAUUCAAAUUUGUAUGGAGUUGGAACUUUUGCCUACGUUUGCCGCUCGAGGCGCUGUUCCAACUGCAUAAAAAUUGAUGUUAACUUUUACGCUAUCGA